UUUAUCAAUAUUCACUUUUAGGGUUUCUGAUGAGUAGAGCCGAUAACGACCAAAGCCACGCCGGGUAGCAGGAGUCAAGUUGAUAAUGACCAAAGUCAUGCCGCAUGACACGAGGGAAAACCAAUCAUACUUCUGCGGUGUAGCACGAGGGAAAAACCCAGUAUUGAUAUUCUCUUUUUUCGACCUUCGCUUUUAUGGUUUCCGACGAGUGUAACUGUAACGCUCCAAAACCCAAAUGACUAAUUCACGAACAUGUUUCCUUUUUCA